rnacentral:rRNA from 1 species
UACGAGGGGUGCAAGCGUUGUUCGGAAUCACUGGGCGUAAAGGGAGCGUAGGCGGAACUCCAAGUCGGUCGUACAAUACCGGGGCCCAACCCCGGACCUGCGGCCGAUACUUGAGUUCUUGAGUUGUUUAGAGGCAGGCGGAAUUCCAGGUGUAGCGGUGGAAUGCGUAGAGAUCUGGAAGAACACCAAUGGCGAAGGCAGCCUGCUGGGAACAUACUGACGCUGAUGCUCGAAAGCGCGGGUAGCAAACAGG